UGAUCAACAGACAAGCAUCCGUCCCACCAAAGGUGCACUAUUGUGAUAAUUAUGCCUUUUAAUCAAAGCACUUGCAUGUGGCCAUAUUCUGGUGAAAUGCAUAUAUGUUUUCAAGUCAUACGUAAAGUGCUACACAUUAUUCUUUCAGGUCUUUUCGUCCCUCAGGAGCGAUUUCAGCCGACAACCACAAAGGAUGGCCAGGUAUGCGUUGAGUUCAUUGGAUGCAGUGCCUUUCAUUGUGUCUCGGCUUUGAUAACAGAAUUACUUACUGAAUGCUUAUUUAUGCUCAGGCUUCGUUCUUCGUGGAUUCUGUCCACCAGCUUCCCUGCAUCUACGCUAUUUUAUCAUUUAUUUAUGCAUCUAUUUUAACUCCAAAUUUUCACUGUAUCUACAGUACCUACAGCACACUUCAGUCAUGGGUACAACUUGGCGAGGGCAUCUUUGUGAGCUCCGACACAUGGACACACCUGAUGCAGCAGCCAGCAGACGCUCGCAGCGUCUCGCUGUUGCACUGUGGGGAAACGAGACACUUGCACAACGCAGUGUCACAGGGAAGCAAUCCAAUAAAGAUGUUUCGAAAGGAAAGACAGCAGUCUACCCACAGUUGUCACCCGUAAAGGUGACCUGCAUGUCAUCUGCCUUUUGGCAUUACCUGCUGUCAAAGGGGUGCAGCACAGAAGAAGCACCAAAGCGGCACAAACAACUGGUACGCUACCUUGCACAGAAGUGUGCGGAUCUCCGACG